rnacentral:rRNA from 1 species
UACGAAGGGGGCUAGCGUUGCUCGGAAUUACUGGGCGUAAAGCGCACGCAGGCGGCUUUCUAAGUCGGGGGUGAAAUCCUGGAGCUCAACUCCAGAACUGCCUUCGAUACUGGAGAGCUCGAGUCCGGGAGAGGUGAGUGGAACUGCGAGUGUAGAGGUGAAAUUCGUAGAUAUUCGCAAGAACACCAGUGGCGAAGGCGGCUCACUGGCCCGGUACUGACGCUGAGGUGCGAAAGCGUGGGGAGCAAACAGG